UUGUUCCCUUGUUAGUUUAGUAUAAAGUUAAACUGCUAGCUAAAAGUUUAAAACCAAGAAGGAUAAUAUUAACAGGAGAUAUGAACGAAAGAAUUGAACCAUGAUAAAACGCGACAUGCACUACAAAUUGAAGGUAUGAAAUUAAGUUAAAUGAAAGCUCGUUUAUUCACCAUAUGAUGCUCGUUAUGAGGUAAUCAUAUAGGCUAGAUACCGUGAGUCAACGAGGUCGUUUACAUGCACGUGAGUGCACGGAUAUCGGUUAAUUAUUCAAAUUACUGAAAAACACGGAGAAAACCGCAACCGCAUUGUCAUAUGUUUUUCUAAGAUGUAUGCAAACAGGGGAAAUAUCGCCAAACCAACAAUUAAUUUUACCAAAACCUCACAAUAUAUCAUCAUUUGUAUGCACAGAUUGGAUGCAUUGUGUGUUGUAAGCUUUUCGUGGCGCUAGAUGUCAGACAGAUGCAAAUGGCAAAUACAUACAAAAGUGUAAAACGUGUAAGGCUAACGUGAACGUUUGUUUUUUUCCUGUCAUUAUAGAUGCUAGUUUGGUGAAAGUUCACACUGAGUGCUUCAAAUCAUUCAGAAGAGAUGCUGUUUUUAGGGCAGUUUAUUAAAGAAGACCUGACAUGGAUGACUUCCAAUGAGAAACGACUGCUAAUACUUAUAUAAAUUCAUUACAGAAGGACCCUACCAGACUAUAUUUGAAUACGGCAUACUCAUGAAUUCUGGAACUGUUAUUCCUUAACCCAGUUUGGAGGAUAAGAGCUUACCAACUAGUUAUAAAUAUGCUGAGGUGAUGUAUUGCAAAAUAGCCAACAUACAACAAUAUGGAUGACCCUCUGUCUGGUCAACAGGAGUUUAAAUAUGGACGGGACAGUGAUGUGGCAGCUCUUCCCUGGCUCAUUCACCUCUUGCCUUCAUUUGUGAAAGGAAGAAAGAAGAAAGAGGGUCAAUGUGCAACUGAAGCUACUGAUUGUGCUGUGUGAUGAGCAUCAAUCCAUGCUUUGAGGGGGAUGAAUCAGCACAGCCCUGCCUGCAUUGCGUAGGGAACAGAAGUUGCAUCCAGAAUUUUUGCAUCAUUCUGGACCAAAAAGCCAUUCCCUCCAAGAUGAAGACCACUGAUGCAGCCUUCCACUACAUCAUGAGUAAAACAACUACAGAACUAAAUACCAGGUUGGAACGUAUUUAAGAAAAAUGAAACGUCUUUUGAAUUGAAAUGUCUGUUUUGUUAUGGAUAAACCUUUAGUAUUGUGAAGGAUAAGCAUUUCUGCCUGCCAGUAAGGUAAUUGCAGUGUAUUUUAAUGUUCAAGUUUUGAGUAGGGUGGCUAAUUUUUUUUAAACUCUCAUUUGAUAUAUUAAAGACCUUAUAAUAAGUGGUUUUCAUGUCACUGCGCUGUGGUAUGAGAUAACUUUCAUUAUUCCAUACUGUAUUCUGUAUUCUAAUUGUAGCUGAGGUAU